AAAAUGUGAUUGUUUGUGUGUGUAUGCGUGUAUUUAUGCCUGCAAUUGUACGAUUUUUGUACGUGGGCGCGUGAAUGUUACUUUCUUUGCAUGUGUUUGUUUGUCUGCGUGCAUUCAAGUGUUCGUGUGUGUGAUGGUGUGUAAUGAUGGAAGACAUGUCAUCAGUGUCCCGGGCCGUCCAGAGUCCUCCCCCUCAGAGCUGGUCCAGGCUGAUGGAGCAGGAGGCGGUGGGCUGUCUGGAGAGCAGAUGGACCUGGGUCCAGAGAGGGAGCCAUUAAAAGGCAGACAGGACUCUACCGCCAGCAGGAGAGCUGGCAGUCAGUCGGUCCACCAGCAGAGAGGACCUUUACUUCUCGACUAACCAAAGGAAUAAGCAGCUUUUUUUUUUUUUUUUUUACUCCACGCUGGGAACCGGCGCCAAAACCAAACCACUAACAAGGUAAGCUCCCCCCAGGUCUGCCUGUGUUUUGAAGACACACUGGAUUACACGCCUUUUGUGAGCUCUGUGAAAGUGGG
ensembl:lncRNA